rnacentral:rRNA from 1 species
AGCGAACGCUGGCGGCAGGCCUAAUACAUGCAAGUCGAACGCACCUUCGGGUGAGUGGCGGACGGGUGAGUAACGCGUGGGAACGUGCCCUUUGGUUCGGAACAACACAGGGAAACUUGUGCUAAUACCGGAAUGUGCCCUUCGGGGAAAGAUUUAUCGCCAUUGGAGCGGCCCGCGUUGGAUUAGCUAGUUGGUGGGGUAAAGGCCCACCAAGGCUACGAUCCAUAGCUGGUCUGAGAGGANGAUCAGCCACACUGGGACUGAGA